UAGGGAAUCUUCCGCAAUGGACGCAAGUCUGACGGAGCAACGCCGCGUGAGUGAAGAAGGAUUUCGGUUCGUAAAACUCUGUUGUUAGGGAAGAACAAAUGUGUAAGUAACUAUGCACGUCUUGACGGUACCUAAUCAGAAAGCCACGGCUAACUACGUGCCAGCAGCCGCGGUAAUACGUAGGUGGCAAGCGUUAUCCGGAAUUAUUGGGCGUAAAGCGCGCGUAGGCGGUUUUUUAAGUCUGAUGUGAAAGCCCACGGCUCAACCGUGGAGGGUCAUUGGAAACUGGAAAACUUGAGUGCAGAAGAGGAAAGUGGAAUUCCAUGUGUAGCGGUGAAAUGCGCAGAGAUAUGGAGGAACACCAGUGGCGAAGGCGACUUUCUGGUCUGUAACUGACGCUGAUGUGCGAAAGCGUGGGAAUCAAACAGG
rnacentral:rRNA from 1 species